UACGGGGGGGGCAAGCGUUGUUCGGAAUUACUGGGCGUAAAGGGCUCGUAGGUGGCCAACUAAGUCAGACGUGAAAUCCCUCGGCUUAACCGGGGAACUGCGUCUGAUACUGGAUGGCUUGAGUUCGGGAGAGGGAUGCGGAAUUCCAGGUGUAGCGGUGAAAUGCGUAGAUAUCUGGAGGAACACCGGUGGCGAAGGCGGCGUUCUGGACUGCUACUGACACUGAGGAACGAAAGCCAGGGGAGCAAACGGG
rnacentral:rRNA from 1 species